rnacentral:rRNA from 1 species
GACGUAGGGCGCGAGCGUUGUCCGGAAUUAUUGGGCGUAAAGAGCUCGUAGGCGGCCAGUUGCGUCUGCUGUGAAAUCCCGGGGCUCAACCCCGGGCUUGCAGUGGAUACGGGCUGGCUAGAGGCAGGCAGGGGAGAACGGAAUUCCCGGUGUAGCGGUGAAAUGCGCAGAUAUCGGGAGGAACACCGGUGGCGAAGGCGGUUCUCUGGGCCUGUACUGACGCUGAGGAGCGAAAGCGUGGGGAGCGAACAGG